CGCCCAGACUGGAGUGCAGUGGCGCAAUCUCGGCUCACUGCAAGCUCUGUCUUCCGGGUUCAUGCCAUUCUCCUGCCUCAGCCUCCUGAGUAGCUGGGACUACAGGCGCCCGCCAUUACGCCCGGCUAAUUUUAUUUUAUUUUAUUUUUAGUAGAGACAGGGUUUCACUGUGUUAGCCAGGAUGGUCUGUGUCUCCUGACCUCGUGAUCCACCCGCCUCGGCCUCCCAAAGUGCUGGGAUUACAAAAUGCGUGAGCCACCACGCCCGGCUGAUGGUUUUAUUAAUAUAAGGGACUUUAACCCUUUGCUCAGGACUUCUACUUGCUGCUGCCAUGUGAAGAAGGACAUAUUUGCUUCCCCUUUCACCAUGAUUGUAAGUUUCCUGAGGCCUCCCCAGCCCUGCAGAACUGUACACACAUAUACAUAUCCUUAAAGAAUUACAAUAUUGUUUUGUGUUAAAUAUUUUUGUAUAUAUUGCUCUGAAUGUAUUUUGCUUAUGUCGCUCAACUUGAUGUUUUUGCCACCUAUCCACAUAUAUGUUUUGUUCCUCUUUUGGACUUAAUGUUUUAAAGGAAGAAACCAAGGAGGAAGAGGUUUAUUCACACAAGAACAGCUAUCUGUACCUAUGUUUCCGCCUGUCUCUGAUUGGAGACUGAAGUCAGGAGGACUUCUUGGAAGAAGCAAGGAACUGAAUUUGGUUUUUGAAAGAGACUGAGAAAAUGCUGAGUGUGAAUGUUGUGGGGGCAUUUCAGAGAUACCCCUUACAAUAAUUCCAUAGACUAGGAAUUGUGAGAUUUGUUGUAUGAUCUUUCUUUCAUUAUUUAGUUAUAGAUUCUAUGGCUUUUUAAAUAUUUAGGUUAGACAAAUGUUUUGACUGUGGAAGAUACAUUUAAAAAGGGAUGCUAAACAAAUCAAGAUUUACUAAAACUGAACAACAGAAAUCCUGUAAAACACUAUCAUUUAAGCCCAACAGGUGGACACACAAACCAAUUACAAAUCAAAGAGGCUUUGAUCCAUGGAGUCUUUGGUGUAUGCCGAAUAAAAUACAUUCAAAAUGUAUUUGUAGUGUGAGAUAAAGAUAUAAAGGUCACUUUGUAAGUGCUGCCUAUGUUAGUAGUUUUAAUUUUACCUUGUCAGUGCCUCUGUGUACAAAACUGAAGAAAGCAAGACUUUGAUUUGUUCAGGUUUCCUUAAGGAGGGACACAGAAUCCUUGAAGCAUGAUUUGAAAAAGAUGGAUAAGAUAUUCUACCCAAAAUUCAACAUCACCUUUAAUCUUGCCCUCUCCUCCUCUAAUCCCUAGGUAAUGUUUUGUGCUUCUUUUGCAGAAAAGCAAUUUUGUUAAUCACUUUAGCACCAAUUCUUGCAUCCCUGGCAAUACUCAGAACUGCUUCCAUCCAAGUCUUUGAUGUGGGAAAGAAACACACACACACUCUUUCGCAUGUAAUCUGAAAACAAUUCACCUCUUGCCAAUGAAUGCACAGCACUCCACUUUAAUAGAGAGCAAGUUCUGUGGAGGUUUCUAAUCCUUUCUGCCAAAGAAGAGAAGAGAGAGAAUCACUCAGUGUGAGUCACCGAGCCCGGCCAGAGAUGGAGAUCUUGAGAGAUUAUAAAGGUGCUGGGUUGUGCCACAUAUCUGCUGAGCUUGGUGCAGUGUAGGGAAUGCAUGAGCACCUGGUCAAAAAUUCCUCUCUACUCAUUAGUUGCUGCAUAGCAUUUACAGACCCACACCCUUGCCAAGAGAUAAUUUGAGCUCUUAGCUCUGUCUUGCCAGGGCUGAUAUCGAUGUAAUUAUUGUUUGAUUCUACUAUAAGACUGAAUUCAGUUUCAGCUUUUUAAUUUGUCCAUUUCACUUCUCAUUUAUCAGCUUCUAUUGCAGAUGUGAAGUUUAGCAUUUCUUUGCUCACUCUUUUACUGGGAAACUCUUCUAGCGGAAAGCCUGUCAUCUGUUGUGAAGGAGAGCUGGUGUUGACUUGAAGCAACAGAGUUGGUGGUCCAGUGGCCAUUGUCCUGUGUUAGGAGCAGGUGGUCUCGCUAAGCUCCAUGUGUUUGGAAAUUUCUCUGACCAGUGCUUGUUCUGCUAAAGGAAGAAGAGCUCAAGCUGCACUCCUUGUUUCCAGGAUCCCAUCCAGAAUACAUUACCUUUAGUCAUCAUGUCUCCUGUGGCUCUUCUUGGCUGUGACAGUUUCUCAGCUUUCCCAGUUUUAAUGAACUUGCCAUUUUCAUCAGAUUGUACCAAGACCUACUAUCAAUAUGACUUAUGACUAGUGGUGCUGACCUUGAUCACCUGGCUGAGGUAGUUCUUGUCAGGCUUCUCCACUGUCGAGUUGCUCUCCCCAUCCCCCUUUUCCAUAUUGUACUCUUUGAAAGAAAGUCACUAUAUGCAGCCCUUCCUUAAAAAUAUUAAAAUGAACUAGCUUAAUUAAGUUCUUUCUUACAUUUAGGUGUAAAUACCUCUGAGGUUUUUUUCUUUUAAAAAAUGAUUAUCUAUGUAAUACAUACUCACUGCACAAGACUUUAAAAAUGCAAGAAAAGUAUAAAGCAGCAGCAAAUAGAACUACCCAUAAUUCCAUCUGUCACAAGCAACCAUUUCUAGCUUUUUGUCAUAUUUCCUUCCAGUUUUUUUUCUUCUGCAU
rnacentral:lncRNA from 1 species